CCUACGGGUGGCAGCAGUGAGGAAUAUUGGUCAAUGGCCGAGAGGCUGAACCAGCCAAGUCGCGUGAGGGACGAAUGUCCUAUGGAUUGUAAACCUCUUUUGUCAGGGAGCAAAGUCACCCACGUGUGGGUGUUGGAGAGUACCUGAAGCAAAAGCAUCGGCUAACUCCGUGCCAGCAGCCGCGGUAAUACGGAGGAUCCGAGCGUUAUCCGGAUUUAUUGGGUUUAAAGGGUGCGUAGGCGGGUUGAUAAGUUAGAGGUGAAAUGUCGGGGCUCAACCCCGAAACUGCCUCUAAUACUGUUGGACUAGAGAAUAGUUGCGGUAGGCGGAAUGUAUGGUGUAGCGGUGAAAUGCUUAGAGAUCAUACAGAACACCGAUUGCGAAGGCAGCUUACCAAACUAUAUCUGACGUUGAGGCACGAAAGCGUGGGUAGCAAACAGGAUUAGAUACCCGGGUAGUC
rnacentral:rRNA from 1 species